rnacentral:rRNA from 1 species
AACGAACGCUGGCGGCAUGCCUAACACAUGCAAGUCGAACGAGACCUCCGGGUCUUGUGGCGCACGGGUGCGUAACGCGUGGGAACCUGCCCUUAGGUUCGGAAUAACUCCCCGAAAGGGGUGCUAAUACCGGAUAAUGUCUUCGGACCAAAGAUUUAUCGCCUUUGGAUGGGCCCGCGUUGGAUUAGCUAGUUGGUAGGGUAAAAGCCUACCAAGGCGACGAUCCAUAGCUGGUCUGAGAGGAUGAUCAGCCACACUGGGACUGAGACACGGCCCAGACUCCUACGCGAGGCAGGAGUGGAGAAUAUUGGACAAUGGGCGAAGGCCUGAUCCAGCAAUGCCGCGUAAGUGAUGAAGGCCUUAGGGUUGUGAAGCUCUUUUACCCGGGAUGAUAAUGACGGUACCGGGAGAAUAAGCUCCGGCUAACUCCGUG